rnacentral:misc_RNA from 1 species
GAUGAAGAACGUAGCGAAAUGCGAUAAGUAAUGUGAAUUGCAGAAUUCAGUGAAUCAUCGAAUCUUUGAACGCACAUUGCGCCCCCUGGUAUUCCGGGGGGCAUGCCUGUUCGAGCGUCAUUUCACCACUCAAGCCUCGCUUGGUAUUGGGCAACGCGGUCCGCCGCGUGCCUCAAAUCGACCGGCUGGGUCUUCUGUCCCCUAAGCGUUGUGGAAACUAUUCGCUAAAGGGUGUUCGGGAGGCUACGCCGUAAAACAACCCCAUUUCUAAGGUUGACCUCGGAUCAGGUAUGGAUACCCGCUGAACUUAAGCAUAUCAAUAAGCGGAGGA